AUACGGGGGGUGCAAGCGUUAAUCGGAAUUACUGGGCGUAAAGCGCGCGUAGGCGGUUUGCUCAGUCGGAUGUGAAAGCCCAGGGCUCAACCUUGGAACUGCAUACGACACUGGCAAACUAGAGUGUGAGAGAGGAUAGUGGAAUUUCCGGUGUAGCGGUGAAAUGCGUAGAUAUCGGAAGGAACAUCAGUGGCGAAGGCGACUGUCUGGCUCAACACUGACGCUGAGGUGCGAAAGCGUGGGUAGCAAACAGGAUUAGAAACCCUAGUAGUCC
rnacentral:rRNA from 1 species